rnacentral:lncRNA from 1 species
ACUUUUGUAGCAAAAAAAAACUUUAAAAGAAGAAAUAGACUGGCAUAAAGUGCUUCUAGGGACCUUAUAAUUUUUCAUAAAUACAGUUACAAAGAUCAUGAAGUCACAAGCAAAUAUUACAAAACAUAUAAGGAAAAAAAUUAUGAGGAAGAGUCAGUGAACACACUCUUUAUAUGUAGAAUAAAACCCACAGAAAUUGCAGAUAUUAAAACAAUUUUCUAAAGAACCAAAAUAAACGUGUUCAAUAUUUUUAAGUGUAUAUUUUUAAAUAAUAAAAGAAUGUGUUGAGAAGAAAAGCUUUAAAAAUUAAAUUUUAAACAACCUUUUCCAACACAUUUGACAAAUGGAAAACUAACAAAUUCGUAGAAAAAUACCAACUGUCAAAACCAACUCAAGAACAAAUUUCAAAUGUCUGAAUAGUCAUCAGCCCACUAAAGAUAUUUACUUAGUCCCACAAAGAAAACAUCAGCUUCAGGUGGAUCUUAUAGAUAAAUUCUACCAAACACUGAAAUGUUGUAGAAGUAAAAUUUAAUGAUAAUAGCCAAUUCGAAAUAGCCUGAAGAAAACCAUUGCUUGAGAAAGUAGAUUUUUAUAAAUUACCCCAAAUGCAGUUAAUGGAGACAAAGAUAUAGAAAAUAUAAAACAGGGGUUAAGAAACAUAGAGUGAGAGUGUCUAAUAUGCAUUUCAUUAGGGUCCCAGAAAGAGAAUAAAUAAAUGUGAGAGAACGAAAUUCAAAGAGAGAAUGACUGUCAACUUUCUAAAAUUAAUAAGAGACAAAUCUUCAUAUUCAUAAAUUCCCAAGAGUUCCAGGCAGUACAGUCAAGAGAUGUUCAUAAUAAGGACACCACAGUAAAAUGAAAGUGCACCAAAGAUGCAGAGGAGAUCUUAUGUGGCUGGGGAGAAAACAUGUCUGUAAAACAAUAGUAAUUAGACGGACAGCUGACUUCUCAAAAGCAACAGUGGAAGUCAGACAGCAAUAAAUACAUCUUCAAAAUUCUGAAUUGAAAUAACGAUAAACUCAGAAUUUUAAUAAAAUAUAUUAGUAAUAAAGAGCUUAAGCAGGUAAAACAUAAGGAAGGAUAAAGAAAUUGAGAAGUUUGAUCUAAUGAAUGUAAUAAAGAAUGCGGCAUUCAAAAACUGGAAAAUGUUUAUUCAUUCUAAAUAUACAUGGAAUAUAUAUAUGAAUAUUGGUCACAUGCUGGGUAAAAAAAAAAAAGAGAGACAAAUUUCAGAGGAUCAGUUUGACCACAUUCUCUAAUCUAAAUUCUAAGAAAUUAGAAAUCGAGGACAAAUGAGAACACUCCUAAAUAAUGUGUGACUCCAAAAUAAAUUAUAGUAGAAAAAUUUAGUGCAUAAUGAUAAUAAAAAUUAAGGUAUUAUUAUGUGACUUAAACAUGUAGAAUGCAUUAAGACAUUAAGUGUAGGAGCAUUCUUAAGUUUUUGAACUUAUUAAAGAAGAUGAGCUAAAAGGAAAUUAGCUAAGCAUCCAACUUAAGAAGUUAGAAAAAGACCAAAAAAAUGAAACAAAGCAGAAAGAAAUAAUAGAAAGAGGUGAUAUAAAAGAAAGAUAUCUAUAUGUAUGUAUAUAUAACAGAGAGGAUUAAACUAGACAAAAGAAGAUUUUUUGAACAAAGUGACUCAUCCUUGACAAAAUUAUCAGUUAAAAAAUUGAAGGCACAAAUACAUAAGAAUGGAUGAAAAAAGGAGCAUGUUAGAGAUGAAAAAGAUUUUUUUUAAGUUAGAUUAAAUUACAAACAACGUUAUGCCAAUACGGUCAAAACGAGGAAAAAGUAAAUAAAUUCCUAGAAAAAUAUAGAUCACUGAAGCUGACUCAGGAAAAAAAAACUAAGUCAUCAUGUAACUGUUAAAGAUAUUAAAUUAGUCAUAAAAAAAUUUCUGCAAAAAGAAUUAACCAUUUCAUGUGGGUUUUGUAAUUCUACCAAAUGUUUAAUAAAUCAAGAAUUCCACCCUUACACAAACUGUUUCAGAGGACAGAAAAGAAGAAAUUCUCCCCAAAUCAAUUUAUGAUAAUAAUAUAUUCUUGAUACAAAGCUAGACUAAUAAGAAAAAACAUUGAUAUUGGUGAUAACAAAUUAAAAUGGAAACAGUGUAGCAAAAAGCUAUGGGAUACAGCAAAAGC